rnacentral:rRNA from 1 species
GACGAACGCUGGCGGCGUGCUUAACACAUGCAAGUCGAGCGGAAAGGCCACUUCGGUGGUACUCGAGCGGCGAACGGGUGAGUAACACGUGAGUAAUCUGCCCCUGGCUUUGGGAUAGCCACCGGAAACGGUGAUUAAUACCGGAUAUGACCACUUCUCGCAUGGGUUGUGGUGGAAAGUUUUUCGGCCAGGGAUGUGCUCGCGGCCUAUCGGCUUGAUGGUGAGGUAAUGGCUCACCAUGGCUUCGACGGGUAGCCGGCCUGAGAGGGUGACCGGUCACACUGGGACUGAGACACGGCCCAGACUCCGACGGGAGGCAGCAGUGGGGAAUAUUGGACAAUGGGCGGAAGCCUGAUCCAGCAACGCCGCGUGAGGGAUGACGGCCUUCGGGUUGUAAACCUCUUUCAGUACCGACGAAGCGCGAGUGACGGUAGGUACAGAAGAAGCACCGGCCAACUACGUGCCAGCCGCCGCCGUAAUAC